rnacentral:ncRNA from 1 species
UGAUAGAGGCGCAGCCAUCAUCAGUAGCCCCGCAAAGGCGGCAGGAACCGCCGGGGUGAAAGGGAUCGCUGCCGAAGGAUCCCCCGGUUUCCUGACCGGCGGAUGCCUGGGCCGUCGGAGAAGAUCCGCCGGACUGUCGCAAGCGAUUGCGGAGCGCUGUC